GCCAGCAGCCAUACUGUAUCACCCUGCAAUUCACAACUGGCAGCCCACUGAAGCUCAGCAGGUGUGGGCCUGGUCAGUACCUGGAUGGGAGACUUCCUGGGAAAAACUAAGGUUGCUGCUGGAA
rnacentral:rRNA from 1 species